GUCAAAAGCAGGGUGCAUGUCAUUGGAAGAGAUGUGUUGAUUAGUUUUUGACGGAAACAGCUUAACAGACAGAUUGUGUAUGUGCAGUUUUUCUGUAUAUGUGUUUACUUCUUAAACUUCACUGUCUCAAUGAAGCCACCAGGUGCUAGUCAAAACAGUUGUAGUGCACCUUUCUCUGUGUUUGCCAUCUAGGUGCAGUGAGCAGCUGUUAAGCGAUGCAUUGCUGCACAGAGAGCAAAUGCCAAAUGCACACUGUUUGCAGUGUAGUUAUUGUAGCUUUCUCUGCAGCGAACAAUAACCCCCACAGAAUUGGCUCUAUCGUAAGCUGUGUCACACAACCAGCUAAUUUGGCAGUUAAGCUAACUGCUAGAAGUUCUUUAGAAAGAAAGCUUUCCAUUUUAAAUUUGUUGGGUCUAGGAAUCAAAUCUGAUACCACCACUUUCUUGGCAUUUGCUAUAUCAAGCUGACCAGGAGGCUUGCCAAUAGUACCACAAUUGCAAAUUAAUGAAUAGCUGAAAGCACAGGGAGCAAAGCCUUAUUUUUAUAGGCUUGCUUGGUCAUUUUCUUGUAGGACUACAUUUACAACUGGCACAUAAGAAUGUUAAAUGUAGGGUACUUUGCUUUGCACAUCUAUUUCUGCAUUGUUUUGUUCCACACAGCUGAUUUCUUGGCAUUUGAUUAGUGGCCCACUUGCAUGAAUGUAGGAAGAAUAGGAAGAAAGUUAGUACAUCAGUUGGUAUUGGUGGUAAGCCAUGAGGCACUUGCAGUUGGAAACAAUGAAAUGCAGUUUCAUGCCACCUUGGUUAAAGCUGUGAACAGAGUGCACAGAUGUUAACUUGGCCUCAGUAAUAGUUCACUGAGCAGGACUUGCUCCACGCUUCAGCCUAGAUUACUCUGUUUCGUGAACACUGGUAUUGCUUAUGCAACUUGAGGUUUCACCAAGAUUAGUGAAGCAAAUUUUGUAGCAUCUGCUGACUGGCAUGUCUGUUAUGUUGGUAGAUUCUCAUAGCAUGGCACUGUGGUUGUGGCUUUGCAACAGAAACAAGCUUGAAACAAAAAAUCAGUGCUGCAUGCUUGAGUGCCUACGUUAGCGUGGCUUCAACACCUGCUAACAAACAGGUGCAAGUUGAGUGUUACAUAGUGGGUGCGUUUAACUAGUGUUACUUAACUGCAAACGGUUUUUGCAAGUGCUUCAACUUUACCUUCGAAUCCAUGUCCUGUCAGCCCAACAAACAGUAUUAAUAAGCAAUGCUGUGUUUGAGAAACUGUUCCCAUUGCUUUGAUGGCCUCUCCUUGCUCACACUGUUUUUUUGGUAGUUUAUUUGUUUCAUCAGAAUGGUCCCACAGGUGACCACUUUCGUGGAAUGUCGUGAAACCAUUUGCGUCUCUCAACAUCCCACAUCACAUUGUGUGCUACGGCCAAACUUUCUUUCUUUCUUUUUUUUCUAAAUAAUGUCCUACUGUGUGUGUCGCAAGUAAGUGCUGCGCUUUAGGUACUUGUAGUUUGUCCAUCGGGGGUUGCCUAUGAAUGUGCCUGUUUCAGCAAGGGGGAGCGUGGGCUUUUAUUCCUGCCGUGCUUGGGCUCAAAGCUGCUGACCCAGUGCAUCUCCUUGCACGUUUUGACAGCGAUCGGUUGCAGCAGCGUUUUGCUCCCAGAUGACAACUCCAGGCGAACCUUGAUACAGUGAGCUUGGAUAUAUAACGAAUUAUCUUGCACAAAAAAGAA
rnacentral:lncRNA from 1 species